UGUGCUUGUCGCGUGUAGGAGAUGCGUUUUGAAGUCCCUUACUGUAGACGUCGAUCCAAGGGCCGUCGAGGCUUGAUCUUGAAUUGGGCUGGAAAUUUCUUCAAGGGCCGUUGAGGCUUAAUCUUGAAUUGGGCUUGAGAUUUCUUCAAGGGCCGUUGAGGCUUGUUCUUGAACUUUUGUUCGAAAUUUCUUCAAGGGUCGUCGAGGCUUGAUCUUGAAGGUUGAAAUUGGACCACAAGGAGCUUCAUGU
rnacentral:lncRNA from 1 species